ACUCAAAUGAAUUGACGGGGGCCCGCACAAGCGGUGGAGUAUGUGGUUUAAUUCGACGCAACGCGAAGAACCUUACCAGGCCUUGACAUGCCACGACGACUUCCAGAGAUGGAUUUCUUCCCGCAAGGGACGUGGACACAGGUGCUGCAUGGCUGUCGUCAGCUCGUGUCGUGAGAUGUUGGGUUAAGUCCCGCAACGAGCGCAACCCUCAUUGUCAGUUGCUACCAGGUUAUGCUGGGCACUCUGAUGAAACUGCCGGUGAUAAGCCGGAGGAAGGCGGGGAUGACGUCAAGUCCUCAUGGCCCUUACGGCCUGGGCUACACACGUACUACAAUGGUGGUGACAGUGGGAAGCCAAAGCGCAAGCUGGAGCGAACCCCCAAAAGCCACCUCAGUUCAGAUUGCUCUCUGCAACUCGAGAGCAUGAAGUCGGAAUCGCUAGUAAUCGCAGAUCAGCACGCUGCGGUGAAUACGUUCCCGGGCCUUGUACACACCGCCCGU
rnacentral:rRNA from 1 species